rnacentral:rRNA from 1 species
AACGCACGCUAGUGGGCAGCAGCACAUGAGAAAUCAAAGUCUUUGGGUUCCGGGGGGAGUAUGGUCGCAAGGCUGAAACUUAAAGGAAUUGACGGAAGGGCACCACCAGGAGUGGAGCCUGCGGCUUAAUUUGACUCAACACGGGAAAACUUACCAGGUCCAGACAUAGGAAGGAUUGA